rnacentral:rRNA from 1 species
AUUGAACGCUGGCGGCAGGCCUAACACAUGCAAGUCGAACGCGUGGCGGACGGGUGAGUAAUGUCUGGAAAACUGCCAGAUGGAGGGGGAUAACUACUGGACACGGUCGCUAAUACCGCAUACCAUCGGAUGUCCCCAGAUGGGAUUAGCUAGUAGGUGGGAUAAAGGCCCACCUAGGCGACGAUCCCUAGCUGGUCUGAGAGGAUGACAAGCCACACUGGAACUGAGACACGGUCCAGACUCCUACGGGAGGCAGCAGUGGGGAAUAUUGCACAAUGGGCGCAAGCCUGAUGCAGCCAUGCCGCGUGUAUGAAGAAGGCCUUCGGGUUGUAAAGUACUUUCAGCGGGGAGGCGUUACCCGCAGAAGAAGCACCGGCUAACUCCGUGCCAGCCGCCGCGGUAAUAC